GGGCGUGUGGCGUAGUCGGUAGCGCGCUCCCUUAGCAUGGGAGAGGUCUCCGGUUCGAUUCCGGACUCGUCCAUUUUAAAAUUUCUUUUUUUUUCUCUUUCCGUAUGUAAGCUUUUUUCCUUCUUUUUUUUUUUUUUUUUUUUUUUUUC
rnacentral:tRNA from 1 species